rnacentral:rRNA from 1 species
AGCCUUUGGAGAGGAUCAAAGGUUAUACCUGCCCAAUGUUAUAAUUAAUGGCCGCGGUACUUUGACCGUGCUAAGGUAGCACAAUCAAUUGGCUCUUAAUUAGGGUCAGGUAUGAAUGGAGUUACGGGGCUUCGCUGUCUCUAAACUAUUUAAUUGAAGUUGCUGUAUAGGUGAAAAAGCCUGUAUUAAGAAAAAAGACGAGAAGACCCUUAGAGUUUUACUUAAAAAAGAGCUAUCUCUUCACUAGUUUUGUUGGGGCAACAUAGGAGAAAACUUAAACCUCCUAAAGUAUAUAAACCGAUGUUUUUAAAUAUGAAUAAACUACCUUAGGGAUAACAGCAUAAUUUUAAAAAUAAGUUUGUGACCUCGAUGUUGGACUAGGAAACUUAAGGGCUAGCCGCCCUUUGGUAAGGUUCUGUUCGAACUAUAAUUCCU